UAUUAUACCCAUUAUAAAUAUUGACAUUAAUAUAAGUCUGAACUUAAUCUCCAGUCGGGGUGCCCUAGCACGGCCCUGUGUCUAGCUACGGCCCUGGAUAAGGUCGGCAGGUGUUAUUUUUUUCCUUUGUUGUUGUUUAAUUCCCACCAGAAAUCCGCUCUGUGAGGCUGAAAAUGCUGAAACCGCAAACGGGACGUAAAGAUCCGGGAGGACGGGACGCUUUGACCCGAAAUCCUGCGCCGGGUUGGUGUUGAGGUCGGGAUUUCUGUCUGUCACCCUGAGGCAGCAGCAUCCUCUCGCCGGAAUGAAACGGUGCCAGUCGGGAUAAUCCCUUUAUUUCCAGGUUCUUCCUGGUCCAACACACCUGAGCGAACCUUCGUCCUGCUGAUGACCUCAUCGUUUAACUCAGUCUGACUCCGGGUCUGGGAGGAACCAAUGGCUGCUGGCAUGCCGCUGUCAUUUUGUGGCGACAAGUUUCCCAGUGCAUACGGCAUCAACGUC